rnacentral:rRNA from 1 species
UACGUAGGGGGCAAGCGUUGUCCGGAUUUACUGGGCGUAAAGCGCGCGUAGGCGGAAGCUUAAGUGUGGCCUGAAAGCCCCCGGCUCAACCGGGGAGGGUGGCUGCAAACUGGGCUUCUUGAGGGCGAUAGAGGAGCGUGGAAUUCCUGGUGUAGCGGUGAAAUGCGUAGAGAUCAGGAGGAACACCCGUGGCGAAGGCGGCGCUCUGGGUCGGCCCUGACGCUGAGGUGCGAAAGCGUGGGGAGCGAACGGG